rfam:Camelus ferus unplaced genomic scaffold scaffold1118, whole genome shotgun sequence.
GAGGGUAUAGCUCAGUGAUUGAAUGCAUGCUUAGCAUGCAUGAAGUCCUGGGUUCAGUCCCCAGUACCUCCU